UGUCCAUGCUGCCGUUCGGGCCUAGCUCUCCCCACCCAGCGUGGUGGUGGCUGCCCCUCCCCCGUCCUUUUGUGCAGGGAACGGGAAAAGCCACUGCCCAAGGAAAAAGUAUUUGUUUUCGUUUCUCCGUCUGAGGGAAGUUGACAGAAGGUCAGAAGUUCAAAUGCUGCCCGCGCACGCAGCGGCCAGAGUGGCGGGGCGCGGGGCGCGGGUCCGCGGAGGCAGCGGAGCCCCGCACCAGCCUUCCGCCCGCGCGGGGACCCGGCCGUCGGGCCUGCUUCUAGCCGAGGCCGCGGGCAGGGCUCGGGGGCCGCAGCGCCCGGUGCGCGGAAACUCGAGCCGCGGGAUCGAUCGCCCGCAGGUCUUCUCGGCCACGUUGGGGAUGAACUGCUUGUAGGCUAAAGGGGUCAGCUUUUUGGGGUGCCGCCUCUUCCCGAACCCCCUGCCCGGUCCGCAGGCCAGCCCGGAGCACAGCAGCAGCGAGGAGACGAGCAGGACCAGCAGACAUCUCGUCAGCAGCAGCAUCUCGUCCAUGGAGCCGGUGACUUCCACGCCGUCCCCGUGCAGGUGCUGUGUCCGUGUGGGCCAGCGGGCCCAGGCCCUCCACUGUUCACGGUGACCUGGGUGGGGCCUCGCAGAUGGACGCCGUCCAGAGCCCUCUGUCAUGGUUAGCGGAGGCACCCGGCAUCCCUCCUGGGUGCUCAGCCCAGAGUGAUGGACAGAAAUGUCAUGCAUGGAGGGGUCCAGGCACCGUCUCAGCUGGCGACUCUCCAGCUGGCCCAGAGCCUAGGCCCUCGCUCCCCCUUCCACCCUAGGGCAGGCUGGCCAGGGAGAGUGAGGGCCCAGUGCUCCCUGGCGCCCAUGCCAUGGCCGCUGUCCAUGGUUCUGCAGCCCAGCCCCCUCGCUCCCGUGUCAGGGUGAUGGGAGUGCACAGUGGAGAGCUCUCAGGCCUGGGACUGCCUGUGGCACUGAAUUGGGAAGCUGUGGGGAGCAGGGCACUCGAGAGGGAGUGGGUGAACCAGCCCGCGAGGCGGAGCCUCCCCAGCCGUGGGGGCUUGUUGCUCCUCAGAGCUGCUCCUUCCUUCCAAUGAGCCUUCCUGGCAAUGCCAAGGGGAGGGCACAGCCCUUGCCUGUCCCAGGGGAGCCAGCUGAGCCCUGGCUGCUCCCGAGAGAGGCCACAGGCAUCCCUGCCCCGCGCCCAGACCACCUCCUCCCAGUGCCCGCUGGUGGCCAGCGUCAAGGCGCACAGAGUGGAGGAGGUGUUGUCCUGUGAUGCCAGGCGUGGAGGGCUGUCCCACCCACACUGGUGUGUCACCCGUCUCAUAACCCUGAGCUUCCGAGUGCCCCCACGAGGUCCUGCCCCGUGCCCAGACCUCACAGCCUGC